GGGGAAGUAGUUAAAUAUAACAUUUAAUUUGCAAUUAAAAAGUACUUCUAGUCUUCCUCA
rnacentral:tRNA from 1 species